AGCUAGUUGGUGGGGUGAUGGCCUACCAAGGCGACGACGGGUAGCCGGCCUGAGAGGGCGACCGGCCACACUGGGACUGAGACACGGCCCAGACUCCUACGGGAGGCAGCAGUGGGGAAUAUUGCCAAUGGGCGGAAGCCUGACGCAGCGACGCCGCGUGGGGGAUGACGGCCUUCGGGUUGUAAACCUCUUUCGGCCCCGACGAAGCGUGAGUGACGGUAGGGGUAGAAGAAGCACCGGCCAACUACGUGCCAGCAGCCGCGGUAAUACGUAGGGUGCGAGCGUUGUCCGGAAUUAUUGGGCGUAAAGAGCUCGUAGGCGGUCUGUCGCGUCGAUCGUGAAAACUUGGGGCUUAACCCUGAGCUUGCGGUCGAUACGGGCAUGACUGGAGUUCGGCAGGGGAGACUGGAAUUCCUGGUGUAGCGGUGAAAUGCGCAGAUAUCAGGAGGAACACCGGUGGCGAAGGCGGGUCUCUGGGCCGAUACUGACGCUGAGGAGCGAAAGCGUGGGGAGCGAACAGGAUUAGAUACCCUGGUAGUCCACGCCGUAAACGGUGGGCGCUAGGUGUGGGGGCCAUUCCACGGUCUCUGUGCCGUAGCUAACGCAUUAAGCGCCCCGCCUGGGGAGUACGGCCGCAAGGCUAAA
rnacentral:rRNA from 1 species